GAUGAACGCUAGCGGCAGGCCUAAUACAUGCAAGUCGAACGGUAACAGGGCCAGCAAUGGUCGCUGACGAGUGGUGCACGGGUGCGUAACACGUAUGCAAUCUACCUUUAACCGGAGCAUAGCCCCGAGAAAUCGGGAUUAAUUCUCCAUAGUAUUACGAAGAGGCAUCUCUUUGUAAUUAAAGUUCCAACGGUUAAAGAUGAGCAUGCGCGACAUUAGCUAGUUGGUGAGGUAACGGCUCACCAAGGCUACGAUGUCUAGGGGUUCUGAGAGGAUUAACCCCCACACUGGUACUGAGACACGGACCAGACUCCUACGGGAGGCAGCAGUAAGGAAUAUUGGACAAUGGUGGCAACACUGAUCCAGCCAAGCCGCGUGCAGGAUGUCGGCCCUAUGGGUUGUAAACUGCUUUUGUACGGGAAAAAACCCCUCUACGUGUAGAGGGCUGAUGGUACCGUAAGAAUAAGGAUCGGCUAACUCCGUGCCAGCAGCCGCGGUAAUAC
rnacentral:rRNA from 1 species